ensembl:lncRNA
GAGAGAGAGAGAGAGAGAGAGAGAGACUGAAAGAGAAGAGGAGAGGGAGAGAGAGAGAUAGAGAGAGAGAGAGAGAGAGAGGAGAUCGCGGCGCGCUGAUCCAUCCGGUCCGACAGCGCGCGUUCAGGAGCGAUCAGAAAUGAAUGAAUAGCUCACGGCUUUUCACUUUAAGCCGCUGUUUAGAGACACUUCUUCUGCUUUACACGCUGCAGGUGAAUAACACGCCUUUAUCUACCGGAAACACGAGUUUGAUAUACACUGGAAUUAUAAUUGAUCCCGAUAAUGAUAUGGCACAGUCAUGGCACAGUCAUGGCACAGUCAUGGCACAGUCAUGGCACAGUCAUGGCACAGUCAUGGCACAGUCAUGGCACAGUCAUGGCACAGUCAGGUGGUGUGGAAUUAAAAAUCCGUAUCCCAGUUUCGAAACACACCAUGUUUCUGAACACAAGUUCCUGAAUCAAUCCUGAAUAAAUAAAUACAAAUCCAAUCAGAGCAGUCAGGAGUGUCAUUCUGCUCACACAUACGCUCCUGUUUAUUCUAUUUCUUUGUUGUUGUUGUUGCUGUUGUUGUUGUUGUUGUUGUUGUUGUUGAUGAUGAUGAUGAUGAUGAUGAUGAAGAAGAUGAAGGUGAUGAUGAAGAUGAUGAUGAUGUGUAUUAGAAUAAUACUUUUGCUUUUGUUUAUGGAAUAAAAAGCAACGCAAGACCUCUCUGACAACUUUGCAAAGCGCAUUAACAGAAGAGUUGAAGUUUUAGAGAGAGAGAGAGAUAAAGAGAGAGAGAGAUAAAGAGAGAGAGAGAGAUAAAGAGAGAGAGGGAGAUAAAGAGAGAGAGGGGGAUAAAGAGAGAGAGGGAGAUAAAGAGAGAUAGAUCAGAUCUUACCUUGCUCUAAGAGGCGUGAAGAGUGUUGGAAAGACGGGUCCAGGGAAUCCUUCUCAGCCAUCAGCUCCGGCAAAUACUUUUCAUUAUCCAUGAUGACUCUUAUUGUUUAUUUAUUAUUUAUGAUCUCUGUCCUGUCCGCGGAGGACGCCGUGUGCGCGUUACAGACACACACCAAGCCUCAGAGAGAGAGAAACACACACACACACACACACACACACUCACACACACACACACACACACACACACACAAGAAGAAGCUCUGAGGAUCAGCUAUGCGUUCCACAUCACCGGAAGUGUGCUGAUGGAGGUGGAGAAUGUUCCCGGAGAUUCGGCUUCAUCCAUCCGCCUGACAGAGCCGCGACACCGGGAAGUGUCCUGCUCCUGCGCGCGCUGCCUGUCUGCUCUCUUCAGCUUCCAGCUCCCCCUGCUGUAUCCACG